GACGAACGCUGGCGGCGUGCUUAACACAUGCAAGUCGAACGGUGAACCUCUUCGGAGGGGAUCAGUGGCGAACGGGUGAGUAACACGUGGGCAACCUGCCCCCGGCUCCGGGAUAACUCCAAGAAAUUGGGGCUAAUACCGGAUGUUCACCGCUUCCCGCAUGGGUGGUGGUGGAAAGGGUUUCCGGCUGGGGAUGGGCCCGCGGCCUAUCAGCUUGCUGGUGGGGUAGUGGCCUACCAAGGCGACGACGGGUAGCCGGCCUGAGAGGGUGACCGGCCACACUGGGACUGAGACACGGCCCAGACUCCUACGGGAGGCAGCAGUGGGGAAUAUUGCGCAAUGGGCGGAAGCCUGACGCAGCGACGCCGCGUGGGGGAUGACGGCCUUCGGGUUGUAAACCUCUUUCAGCAGGGACGAAGCGCAAGUGACGGUACCUGCAGAAGAAGCACCGGCCAACUACGUG
rnacentral:rRNA from 1 species